rnacentral:rRNA from 1 species
AGUGAACGCUGGCGGUAGGCCUAACACAUGCAAGUCGAACGGCAGCACAGUAAGAGCUUGCUCUUACGGGUGGCGAGUGGCGGACGGGUGAGGAAUACAUCGGAAUCUACUUUUUCGUGGGGGAUAACGUAGGGAAACUUACGCUAAUACCGCAUACGACCUACGGGUGAAAGCAGGGGAUCUUCGGACCUUGCGCGAUUGAAUGAGCUGAUGUCGGAUUAGCUAGUUGGCGGGGUAAAGGCCCACCAAGGCGACGAUCCGUAGCUGGUCUGAGAGGAUGAUCAGCGACACUGGAACUGAGACACGGUCCAGACUCCUACGGGAGGCAGCAGUGAGGAAUAUUGGACAAUGGGCGCAAGCCUGAUCCAGCCAUACCGCGUGGGUGAAGAAGGCCUUCGGGUUGUAAAGCCCUUUUGUUGGGAAAGAAAAGCAGCAGGUUAAUACCCCGCUGUUCUGACGGUACCCAAAGAAUAAGCACCGGCUAACUUCGUG